rnacentral:rRNA from 1 species
CAGCCGCCGCGGUAAUACGUAGGUGGCAAGCGUUGUCCGGAAUUAUUGGGCGUAAAGCGCGCGCAGGUGGUUUAAUAAGUCUGAUGUGAAUGCCCACGGCUCAACCGUGGAGGGUCAUUGGAAACUGUUAAACUUGAGUGCAGGAGAGAAAAGUGGAUUUCCUAGUGUAGCGGUGAAAUGCGUAGAGAUAGGAGGGACACCAGUGGCGAAGGCGGCUUUUUGGCCUGUAACUGACACUGAGGCGCGAAAGCGUGGGGAGCAAACAGGAUUAGAUACCCCAGUAGUCCCUGUCUCUUAUACA